rnacentral:SRP_RNA from 1 species
CCGUGCUAGCCGGGGAAUUAGCGGCUCCCUAUGCCCUUAAAUCCGCUAUAAUGGGGGUGAUGUCUGCUCUAGGCUUUUGUUUUUUAAGGUCUGCCCUUUGAAGAGAGCGUUGACGACUGAGUCUUGUGCAACAGGAACUUAUGAAUCGUGUCAGGUCCGGAAGGAAGCAGCACUAAAUAACCACUUCUGUGUGCCGCAAGGUAGCUUAGUUUGAGCUAAGGACAAAGGUAACGCUUAGGGAAAAAGAGUCAAAAGCAGGCGCACGG